rnacentral:rRNA from 1 species
UACGUAGGGGGCAAGCGUUGUCCGGAUUCAUUGGGCGUAAAGCGCGUGUAGGCGGCUUUGCAAGUCGGGUGUGAAAGCCCUCGGCUCAACCGAGGAAGUGCGCCCGAAACUGCAGAGCUUGAGUACCGGAGAGGAUGGCGGAAUUCCCCAAGUAGAGGUGAAAUUCGUAGAUAUGGGGAGGAACACCGGUGGCGAAGGCGGCCAUCUGGACGGAUACUGACGCUGAGACGCGAAAGCGUGGGGAGCAAACAGG